rnacentral:rRNA from 1 species
CCUACGGGAGGCAGCAGUGGGGAAUAUUGGACAAUGGGCGCAAGCCUGAUCCAGCCAUACCGCGUGAGUGAAGAAGGCCCUCGGGUUGUAAAGCUCUUUUGUUGGGAAAGAAAUCCUGUUGGUUAAUACCUGGCAGGGAUGACGGUACCCAAAGAAUAAGCACCGGCUAACUUCGUGCCAGCAGCCGCGGUAAUACGAAGGGUGCAAGCGUUACUCGGAAUUACUGGGCGUAAAGCGUGCGUAGGUGGUUGUUUAAGUCUGUCGUGAAAGCCCUGGGCUCAACCUGGGAAUUGCGAUGGAUACUGGGCGACUAGAAUGUGGUAGAGGGUGGCGGAAUUCCCGGUGUAGCAGUGAAAUGCGUAGAGAUCGGGAGGAACAUCCGUGGCGAAGGCGGCCACCUGGACCAACAUUGACACUGAGGCACGAAAGCGUGGGGAGCAAACAGGAUUAGAUACCCUGGUAGUCCACGCCCUAAACGAUGCGAACUGGAUGUUGGGCUCAACUUGGAGCUCAGUAUCGAAGCUAACGCGUUAAGUUCGCCGCCUGGGGAGUACGGUCGCAAGACUGAAACUCAAAUGAAUUGACGG